UAGACUAGAUGCUGCUAGCCACGAGAGGG
rnacentral:piRNA from 1 species